GAAAGGCGAAAAGAACCCCGGGAGGGGAGUGAAUAGAUCCUGAACCGCAUGCAUACAAACAGUGGGAGCCUCGCAAGGGGUGACUGCGUACCUUUUGUAUAAUGGGUCAGCGACUUACGUUCUGUAGCGAGCUUAACCGAAUAGGGGAGGCGUAGCGAAAGCGAGUCUGAUAAGGGCGCUUUAGUUGCAGGGCGUAGACCCGAAACCAGAUGAUCUAUCCAUGGCCAGGAUGAAGGUGCCGUAACAGGUACUGGAGGUCCGAACCCACUAAUGUUGAAAAAUUAGGGGAUGAGCUGUGGAUAGGGGUGAAAGGCUAAACAAAUCUGGAAAUAGCUGGUUCUCCCCGAAAGCUAUUUAGGUAGCGCCUCAUGUAUCACUCGCGGGGGUAGAGCACUGUAAUGGUUGGAGGGGUCAUUGCGAUCUACUCCGCCAUAGCAAACUCCGAAUACCGCGAAGUGCGAGCAUGGGAGACAGACGGUG
rnacentral:rRNA from 1 species